rnacentral:rRNA from 1 species
UAACACGUGGGUAACCUGCCUUAUAGUGGGGGGAUAGCCUUUCGAAAGGAAGAUUAAUACCGCAUAAGAUUGUAGUAUCGCAUGAUAUAGCAAUUAAAGGAGCAAUUCGCUAUAAGAUGGACCCGCGUCGCAUUAGCUAGUUGGUGAGGUAAUGGCUCACCAAGGCGACGAUGCGUAGCCGACCUGAGAGGGUGAUCGGCCACAUUGGGACUGAGACACGGCCCAGACUCCUACGGGAGGCAGCAUG